GCAUGGAAAUGAAAAGGGGAGGUGAAAUGUUUCAGAAAUUAGUCAAAGGUGCAGCAACAUGUGUUGCACAUGGCAUUGGAUCCCAAAUGUGGAUGAUGGAGCAUCAAUUGGUGCAUGGAAUGGUUGUGAAAGUUGUGUGAAAUCAGAUGGGUGAAGGGAACAAGAGGUAUGCAGCAAUUGAGUGUGAUAAUUGAGUGUAUUGGGGCAUGAAAUCAGAAAUAUUUUAGAGGACAAGGAUGAUUAAGCAUGCAUGGGAAUCCAAAGGGAAUGCAAUGUGGAUUGCACGGCAAGGAUGCUCUUGUUCUUUUGUGGCUGAAUUCAUGAUCCUUUGUACACUAAUUCUUCACACUCUUAGCCUCUUUAAGUCUUCAAUUUCGUCCAAACCUUAGUUCCAAAUAUGUGACAUGCAUUCCAAGCUCCAUUUUGCUCCAAAAUGUUCCAAAAUGCAUCUUCUUGCCUACUUUGUCCUUAAAAUCUGAAAAUACAUGAAAAUGACUUUAAACAUUAAAAUAACUAAGGAAACACGACAUAAAUGCACAAGAACAAGCCAACUAAGUCGCAUAAAUAUGCUCCUAUCAGAACUCGCUUAACUUCGGAGUUCCGAUUGAACCCGAAGCUAGUGAGCUCCCAAAAAGCCUUGUGCUAGGUAGAUAUGGGAAUAUACAUUUAAGGCUUACAUGAUCCGCUCCCCUAGGCGAUGUGAAAUGUCACAAAUUGACUGAUGUAACUUUUAGUCGAUCACUGCCUAUGACAGAUUAGUUUAAUUAAUGACUUUGUAACAAGAAAAAUGCUUUGAGCAAAAAAAAAAAACCCUUAC
rnacentral:lncRNA from 1 species